GACGCGAAGGGAGCAUCCGGACUGAAGGCGACGCGAUUAUGCGUGAGAAAGAAAGGCAGUAGCGGCCUGCGACAUCGGCGUUUCUUUGUGAUAGUGUGUUUACUAUGCCUACGACGGCCGUCAUUCGUGGCCAACGAGAAAACAUCUUCCAUUCGGCCUGACCAGUGAUGAAGUGGACUUUUUUUUCGGCGGAAUCCAUCGUCAACAUCGUCCAUCCACUACGUAAACGAAAUGGCGUGCCCAGAGUACACAUCGUGACAGCGCUCCGCCUUCAAACCGAGGGCCUUUUGCAAGGCGGAUGGACGGCUCAUAUAAAAGUUAGUCAGUAUGAAGCAAUUGCAUGGGAACCGGCUGAUUGUCUUGGGCCUACACAUUGCUCAAAAGACAGGGAAGGUGUCUGAGCCGACAGGUAGAAAACAAGCAGAUGGCUACAGCGAUCAAUGAAGAAAUGGCUUCAUCUAUGAUGGCUCUCCUUAGGACAUUGGAAUGGAGCUACACAAAGGCAUCACCAGCCUCGCCUGUUCCCUGGAACAUUGGUUUGAAUAAGACUGUUCUUCAGUGUUGAACGACCACAAGACUUGUCACCACAUACAAGGCGUAGUGCAAGCUCUAAAUAUUGUACAGGUGGCUAGAAUAAAUGACCCUCCAUGCAGUCA
rnacentral:lncRNA from 1 species